rnacentral:lncRNA from 1 species
AUGACAGAUGCCGCUGUGUCCUUGCCAAGGACUUCCUGGCAGGUGGAGUGACCGCGGCCAUCUCCAAGAUGGCGGUGGCACCCACGGAGGGGUCAAGCUGCUGCUGCAGGUGCAGAGUGCCAGCAAGCAGAUCACCGCAGAUAAGCAAUACACGGGCGUUGUAGACUGCAUGGUCCGCAUUCCCAAGGAGCAGGAGUCCUGUCCCUCUGGCACGGUAACCUGGCCAAUGUCAUCAGAUACUUCCCUACCCACGCUCUCAACUUUGCCUUCAAAGAUAAAAACAAGCAGAUCUUCCCGGGGGGUGUGACAAGAGGAUCCAGUUUUGGCACAAGUUUGCAGGGAGUCUGGCAUCAGGUGGUGCCCCUGGGGCCACAUCCUUAUGUUUUGUAUACCCUCUUGAUUUUGACCGUACCCAUCUAGCAGCUGAUGUGGGUAAAGCUGGAGCUGAAAGGGAAUUCCAAGGCCUUGGUGACCGCCUGGUUAAGAUCUACAAAUCUGAUGGGAUUAAAGGCCUGUACCAAGGCUCUAACAGGUCUGUGCAGGGUAUUAUCAUCUACCGAGCUGCCUGCUUCGGUGUCUAUGACACUGCAAGGAGAAUGCUUCCAGAUUCCAGGAACACUCACAUGUCAUCAGCCGUAUGAUCGCGCAGUCCGUCACUGCCGUUGCUGGGUUGACUUCCUAUCCAUUUGACGCUGUUCGCCACGGAAUGAUGAUGCAGUCAGGGUGCAGCUGACAUCAUGUACACAGGCAGGCUUCACUGCUGGAGGAAGAUUGCUCCUGAUGAAGGAGGCAGAGCUUUUUUCAAGGGUGCAUGGUCCAAUGUUCUCAGAGGCAUGGGUGGUGCGUUUGUGCUUGUCUUGUAUGAUGAAAUCAGAAGUACACAUAA